GACGAACGCUGGCGGCGUGCUUAACACAUGCAAGUCGAACGGAAAGGCCCUGCUUUUGUGGGGUGCUCGAGUGGCGAACGGGUGAGUAACACGUGAGUAACCUGCCCUUGACUUUGGGAUAACUUCAGGAAACUGGGGCUAAUACCGGAUAGGAGCUCCUGCUGCAUGGUGGGGGUUGGAAAGUUUCGGCGGUUGGGGAUGGACUCGCGGCUUAUCAGCUUGUUGGUGGGGUAGUGGCUUACCAAGGCUUUGACGGGUAGCCGGCCUGAGAGGGUGACCGGCCACAUUGGGACUGAGAUACGGCCCAGCCUCCUACGGGAGGCAGGGGGGGGGAAUAUUGCACAAUGGGCGGAAGCCUGAUGCAGCAACGCCGCGUGGGGGAUGACGGCCUUCGGGUUGUAAACCGCUUUCGCCUGUGACGAAGCGUGAGUGACGGUAAUGGGGAAAGAAGCACCGGCUAACUACGG
rnacentral:rRNA from 1 species